rnacentral:misc_RNA from 1 species
AAAAGUCGUAACAAGGUUUCCGUAGGUGAACCUGCGGAAGGAUCAUUAAAGAAAGAAUAUUUUCUUCUCUUAUCCCUAUACACCUGUGAAUUGUAGUGAGGUUCGAGAGUUGGGGCUGCUUUAGGGUGGCCCCAUCUUUACAACACUCAAACUCUUUAUCUCUUUCUUUAUCUCGAGUAAAAUCUCUAAACUAAACUAACACAACUGUUGGCAACGGAUCACUCGACUCUC